CCUUACCGUACAGUUAUCCUAGCUACCGCGUUUAAGUAUCCGCCUGGGGAGUACGCCUCGCAAGGGUGAAACUCAAAGGAAUUGACGGGAGCGCACAAGCGUGGAGCAUGUGUUUAAUUCGAUGCAACGCGAAAGAACCCUUACCAGGGCUUGACAUACUACAAAUUCUUUUGAGAAAAAAGAAGUGCCCUUCGGGAAUGUAGAUACAGGUGGUGCAUGGCUGUCGUCAGCUCGUGUCGUGAGAUGUUGGGGUAAGUCCCGCAACGAGCGCAACCCUUAUUUUUAGUUACUAAUUCGUUAGGUUCUCUAGAAAGACUGCCGGUGACAAACCGGAGGAAGGUGAGGAUGACGUCAAGUCAGCAUGCCCCUUAUAUCCUGGGCUACACACGUGCUACAAUGGUUAAGACAAAGAGUCGCGAGCUUGUGAAAGUCAGCUAAUCUCAUAAACUUAGCCUAAGUUCAGAUUGUAGGCUGCAACUCGCCUACAUGAAGUUGGAAUCGCUAGUAAUCGCUGGUCAGCCAUACAGCGGUGAAUCCGUUCCCGGGCCUUGUACACACCGCCCGUCACACCAUGGGAGCUGGUCAUACCCGAAACCGUUUGCUUAACCAUUUGGAGAGCGGCGUCUAAGGUAGGGCUAGUGACUGGGGUGAAGUCGUAACAAGGUAA
rnacentral:rRNA from 1 species